UAUAAAAUUAAUCCCACAUGUAGUGCUGGGAUAUCCCAGCUAAUACCGUGUGCCAAACUACCCCUAACGGUUUGGUUUCAGCAUGAUGUUUGUCCUAGGAAAGUUUAUUACUUAAACUGUUAUUACUCCAUCCGUUUUAUUUUAAGUGAUAUAGUUUGACUUAGCACAGAGUUUAAGAAAGAAAAAAAGACUUUUGAAAUAUGUAGUCUAAAAUAAAUCAUUUCAUUUUUAGAAAUGUAUUAUUAUUUUAAGACAGACUAAAAAAGAAAGCGUAUCACAUAACCCCUGCAUACUUAUUUAUCUUUUAUUGCAAUGUUGACUUUCUGAUGGUUCUGUUAGUAAUAGCAAGAUAUUCUAAUGAGUCAACGUGCUACUUGCUUAAUUCCAUUAUCUUUUAUUUUACUUCUUUGAAAUAUUUUGUACCGUUAUGAGUGUCAUCUUCUCCACCUUACUCUACAAAUCAGGUUCCAGGUGAUAAAGAAGCAGUUUUCCAGUACUUUCAUGACCACCAUGCUUUGUAGGGGAACUUGGUACCUCAAUAUCAUUGAUUCCCAUAUCAUACGUACAAAAGCUAAAAUUCUUUUGUAUUUUAGCUUUCUUGUGUGGAAUUUGUUAGCACACUUUCCAUGUUCAUGAUUAUGUCAUGUCACCAUUGACAACAUAUUUUGGUCGGUAGGCACCAUCCACAUUUCAAGAAAAUUGUAAUGGAAAAGUUGAAAUGGCAGAUUACCUCGGUAUGGCAUAUAUGUGGUAGCUUCGACCUCCUUACUGCUCUUAUUCCCACAGAUCACCUAGCCUUUUCCAAUGUGAGUACAACUUCUAUAGAUAUGAAAAAAGAUCAUAAAAGCGAAGAGCAAAUGUAGACAGAUAACUGAAGAAUGUUGUGGACUACAAACUUUAUGUAAUGAGGUAAUUUAAUCUUUCGUUUUAUUUUAACUCAUUUUUUUUCAAGUAAUAUUUGAUUUGUGUAGUACAAUAAGCUCUCUGCCCUGUGUAAUGUGACUUAUAAAUAGAUGGUUAGAAUCUUAUAUUGAAUAUGGACUUGGUCUUUUUUCCAAAGGAGUUGUGCUUAAAGGAUCUCUUCUGCUUUUCUUGACCAUUCUUCCUUUGGUUAAAUUUUUGUCCAUCUUAGGAUGUUCAAAGCCUUUAGGCAGGUAGCAUUUUUGUUGUUCUGGAUGUCAUGUUGAAACAAGAUUAUAUUUCUAAGCUUAGAUUUUUCAUUGGU